AUUGAACGCUGGCGGCAUGCCUUACACAUGCAAGUCGAACGGCAGCACGGGUGCUUGCACCUGGUGGCGAGUGGCGAACGGGUGAGUAAUACAUCGGAACAUGUCCUGUAGUGGGGGAUAGCCCGGCGAAAGCCGGAUUAAUACCGCAUACGAUCUACGGAUGAAAGCGGGGGACCUUCGGGCCUCGCGCUAUAGGGUUGGCCGAUGGCUGAUUAGCUAGUUGGUGGGGUAAAGGCCUACCAAGGCGACGAUCAGUAGCUGGUCUGAGAGGACGACCAGCCACACUGGGACUGAGACACGGCCCAGACUCCUACGGGAGGCAGCAGUGGGGAAUUUUGGACAAUGGGCGAAAGCCUGAUCCAGCAAUGCCGCGUGUGUGAAGAAGGCCUUCGGGUUGUAAAGCACUUUAGUCCGGAAAGAAAUCCUUGGCCCUAAUACGGUCGGGGGAUGACGGUACCGGAAGAAUAAGCACCGGCUAACUACGUG
rnacentral:rRNA from 1 species